GAAUUGACGGGGGCCCGCACAAGCGGUGGAGCAUGUGGUUUAAUUCGAUGAUACGCGAGGAACCUUACCAGGGCUUAAAUGUAGUAUGACAGGUUUAGAGAUAGACUUUUCUUCGGACAUAUUACAAGGUGCUGCAUGGUUGUCGUCAGCUCGUGCCGUGAGGUGUCAGGUUAAGUCCUAUAACGAGCGCAACCCCUGUCGUUAGUUGCCAGCAUGUUAUGAUGGGGACUCUAACGAGACUGCCUACGCAAGUAGAGAGGAAGGUGGGGAUGACGUCAAAUCAUCACGGCCCUUACGUCUUGGGCCACACACGUGCUACAAUGGCCGGUACAGAGAGCAGCCACUACGCGAGUAGGAGCGAAUCUACAAAACCGGUCUCAGUUCGGAUCGCAGUCUGCAACUCGACUGCGUGAAGCUGGAAUCGCUAGUAAUCGCAUAUCAGCCAUGAUGCGGUGAAUACGUUCCCGGGCCUUGUACACACCGCCCGUCAAGCCAUGGAAGCUGGGGGUACCUGAAGUCGGUGACCGAAAGGAGCUGCCUAGGGUAAAACU
rnacentral:rRNA from 1 species